UUUACUUAGGUCUGUGGUUGAAAGUCGAUGCUAGUCGCAGGCGAAACGAUCCACAUAAGAUAGUCAAAAUGACUGUUGAGCAUGGUGCGGUUUAGAGAUAAGUCCUGCCUGAUUAGAUUUAAGAGUUUAUAGUGUUAUAAGAGUCUGGUACAUAGAAAAUACCGUGACUUGAUUAGCUGUUAUCUUAAAAUUAAUCAGAGAGAAGUAGUAGUAGGAAGGAAACCCCUUGAGCGAACCUUCCCGCAGGCGGGUGUGGGGUCAAAAACCAGGUCAGCUAGGUGAG
rnacentral:ncRNA from 1 species